GAUGAAGAACGCAGCGAAAUGCGAUACGUAAUGUGAAUUGCAGAAUUCAGUGAAUCAUCGAAUCUUUGAACGCAUAUUGCGCUCUCUGGUAUUCCGGAGAGCAUGCUUGUUUGAGUAUCAGUAAACACCUCAACUUCCAUAUCUUUUUUGAAAUGGGAGUUGGACUUGAGUGAUCCCAACGCUUUUCCUCACCGAAAAGUGGCGGGUUACUUGAAAUGCAGGUGCAGCUGGACUUUUCUCUGAGUUAUAAGCAUAUCUAUUUAGUCUGCCUAAAAAACAGAUUAUUACCUUUGCUGCAGCUAACAUAAAGGAGAUUAGUUCUUGUGCUGACUGAUGCAGGAUUCACAAAGACAGGCUUCGGCCGACUUUGUAAACUCGAUCUCAAAUCAAGUAAGACUACCCGCUGAACUUAAGCAUAUCAAUAAGCGGAGGA
rnacentral:misc_RNA from 1 species